rnacentral:ncRNA from 1 species
GCAUCACAACGGCUUCCUGACGUGAUGUCAAAUUCAUAAUGGAGCA